CCGCUGUGUAAAUGAGGUACCGAAUUCAUAUGAAGUAACCUACUUUCUAAUGUUACUACUUCAGUGGAUUCCUACCGAUUAUCAUUUAUUUCACGGCAGCAUGUAUGAAAAUAACCCCAAUCUAUUUAAGUUUAGUAUUCUUAAAACAAAUUAUAUCUUUUAUCUUGGACGAACUUAUGACAUUGCAUGACAACUUCCACCAAUAAUGGGCACAGCAUUUCCUUUGAAUGUGCCCAGUAAAUCAGUAGCUGUAUGUGACCUUUAAUAUAUAGCUACCUUCUAUUUCACAACUUCCUGAUGCAUGGAAAUCCUUUUUGUCUAGAUUUAGUACAACUGGGAAUUUUGAUCUUCUGUAGAAAUUUAUGAUGAGAAUUGUGAAAUAGGGUAACAUAGUGGCCUCUCACAGCCCUGGAAGAUACCUUAGAAGUCAUACAGUCCAGUCACUGGGGCCCAGACAGAUGUCAGGGUUGGUAUUCAAUUACGUUUGGAAAUUUAAACAGUCAAAUGAAGGCCACUUUUUGGUUAGGCGGACUGUAGGAAAACUUGAUCUUCUCAUCCACAGGGGACUUUAUCACUGUAAAGUAAUCUUAUUUUUGCUACAAGUCAAAAUAAAAUGGCUUUGGGGUUCUGUUUCUGAGCAAUUCGGGGUAAGAAGUGAAAUUGAAUCAAGAUUUCCCUGCCUGUAGAGUUUUGUGGGCCUUUUGUGGGAAAUCUAGCUGACUUUUACCUAUGAAGCUGUCCUAUUAAUUCAUCUCACAAAAUGUGGCAAUUGUCCUAUUUGCUAUUUCAAUAAAUGCAAAUCAAGUACUGAUAGAGUACAGGUUUUUAUUUUCCCUGGAACAAGUGUUUGGCAUAUAAAAGGAGUUAUAAAAGACUGAAUGGUUGGAAUAAUUGGAGAAAGUAUAUUUCCAUUGUAUAUAUUCCCUAGCCAUAGUUGUACAGUCUAUUCACAUUCUUGCAUAGUUGGCCUCACAACAGAGUCCUAGACUAGUUACUUUGAUGGGACUGUCUAUGUGUGUUAGAAUACUGUUUUGUGCACAGCUCCUAAAUGUACUGAACUUGUGUAACUUCGAUGUCAGUGAUAUGGCACACUUAACCAAAAUAGAAUUCAGUGCCCUGAUUUCUGAAGAAGUCUGGAUUUAUUUAAACCAAAUUAGGCUCCAUGUUGAGCUUUCUUCUAAUGGUUUACAAAAUGAUGCCAGGAGCUGUCGCUUAGAACUAUCUGAGAGACUACCUCCUGGGCUUGAAUUCCCUUAGAAAUUUCGCUGAAUAAGACAUAAUUCUCAACUUGGCAAGAGGGGAAAAAAAAAAAAAAAAAAAAGAUGCUGUCCAUGGCUCUGAAAUACAGUUUGGAAAGAAUCAGUAUGUUCUUUAUCAGAAGUGGAAUUUGUAUAUUUUCUUGGAAUAUAUUGAGAAUCAUUGGAAUCUUUGCUUUUCUCUAGUGUAUAAAAUAAGAGUGUGAGUUAUGUUAAUUUUGGAGACGGUGGAGCUGUUUUUAAUGCAGUACAUCACUCUUCUUGUCCACAAUGAACUUGACAAACUAAUUCUCUGCAUUCUAGUAUCUGGACAACUUCCCUUCAAUGCCUGUUUCUUCUCAGUAUCGAAUUAAAUACCAUUGUUGACUUCAAAGGGCAUGUGUUUUGUUCCUUCAGGUAAUCCAGGUGUAUUUGGCACUGCUUAUUUUCCCUUCUGUGAGGGUCUCACCUUGUGUUUCUCUUUUGCUAGUAUGCACUGUUUAAUAUCUCUAGCUGUAAAAGUCUAACAUUAAUCAUUUCUCUGUUGGUGGUACUCCUUUCCCAUCCCUACUGUGAUGUUCAUGAUCUUCCUUGGGUCAUAAAUGUUCUUCUAGUUUGCUCAGCCAUAGAUGUCCCUUAAAUUAAAUCUUAGUCUAAGGUAAAUGUUAUAUAUAAGAGUAUUUAACCCCUUUAUGUUUGAGUGCAACUUUGGAAACCCUUUGUUAAGAGUAUAAACCUAGUUUUCCUAAAAAAAAAAAAAAAAAGUCUUAGUAGCUGUUAUGAAAAGCAUUCUCUCAAUCACCACAAAACAAAACAAAACAAAACAAAAACACCAAAAAAGAAAACGAAAAAAACCUCAACUCUCAGAAACAUUUUCAUUUUUGGAGAAAUAAUAUUGGAAAGUAAUUUGGUUUUUUCUCCAUCUGGCUAGGUAUAAACUUAGAUCUUUGAGCAGAAGCUCUGGGAUUAUUUUCUCAUUUUACUGAAGCUACAUUGUCACUAAGUGUACCUUCAUUCCUUUUACAGUUUUUGAUCCUUUCCUCUGAUUUUCUUUAAGACUCUGUUGCUUCCACCCUCUCUGUUCUAUCUUCACUCCCCCAUGUAUGUCCCUUACACAGAUACACAUGGUUCAUUUUAGGAAUAGCAGUGAACUUGAUCAGUUGUCUUUUCCUGUCUUUUAAAAUCACUUCAUCACUCCUUUUGGGGAUAAUACCAAAAAGAAUUAAAAGCUGUUAGUCAGCCCUUUUGGUUAGAGGCAAAUUCAGUUUUUAGGAACCCCAGAUUAGCAUCAAGUGCUAUUUACCUAUCCCAGUGAUGUUUGACCCUCAAUUCAUUUGUUAGUGUUUGAAUGUUCUACAAAACGUUGUUUGAGAAGUUAUAUAUUCUAGCACUCCAGCUUUGCCAUUUCUGUGAAACACAUCAUACUAAUUAUCAAUUUUCUGACCAGUGACUUUGAAUUAGUGGGUGUGAUCUAUAGACUAGGUAGUAUUUUCUCUCUUUUUUUGCCUGUUUUCUUCCUUAUCUCCCGGCUCAAUUUUGUGGUUUCUGUUUUCUAAGGUAGAUUUAUUCCUUUGGAAUUUGGUUGUUGGCAAUAAUAGGACCUGGAUGAGAAAAGUUUUUUUAAAAAUGGACUGGAAGUAAUCCGAAGAGUUAAGUCAAUCAUCAGAAGUGCUUUCUUCUGAGCACAACAGUACUUGAAGACUUGUGAGUUGGAAUUGCAUGUUACUUGAAAGACCUAAUUAAGCUAAAUUUUGGUGCACAGCAGUUGUACAUGAUUUCAUGUUUAUGUAGCAAAAUGCUUUGAAAUGUACUAGUUUUGAAAAAUACAUGUAAAGAUAGUUGUGAAAAUUGUCUAUUUUCCUGUGUGUCUCAUUUAUUUAGAGUAUAAAUUUUCUUUUUUAGUUGUUCUAACUGAAUAAGGCUAAAUGAAUACUGUAAUUGAAAUUAUAUUUUAAAUCUUUGUCAUGAGUUUUUAAAAAAAAACUAUUGCAAAUUGUAUCAUUCCUGAUUACACAGAACUUUGUGGGUG
ensembl:lncRNA